rnacentral:misc_RNA from 1 species
CUGCGGAAGGAUCAUUAUAGAAAAUGACGUGAACUCUUAACGGAGUUCUCUCAAAGUGUUGGAGGGGAAGGCCUGCGCUUAAUUGCGCGGCUGUUUUUAAUCUCCUCCGCCUUUGAUACACACAUUGGAGUUUCUACUUUUUUGUUCUCUUUGGGAGGGUUCUGCUCUCCCAGAGGUAAACACAAACAAUCUUUUAUUAUACUAUUAACACAGUCAAAUGAAUUUUAAAAACAAAAUAUUCAAAACUUUCAACAACGGAUCUCUUGGUUCUCGCAUCGAUGAAGAACGCAGCGAACUGCGAUACGUAAUGUGAAUUGCAGAAUUCCGUGAAUCAUCGAAUCUUUGAACGCACAUUGCGCCCCUUGGUAUUCCGGGGGGCAUGCCUGUUUGAGCGUCAUUUCCCUCUCAAACUUUACGUUUGGUAGUGAGCGAUACUCUACUCUGGAGUUUGCUUGAAAAUGGGAGGCCAUAGGCGAAGCAUUGCUUUCCAAUCCUGCGGCCCUCUGCUUACUUCCCCUUGUGGGUUGUGGCAGGGGAAAGCGGGAGGCGCCUUGCCACGAUAGUCGUAUUAGGUUUUACCGACUCGGCGAAAGUGAAGAGGUUUGCUUUUUAAAAAGAAGCAGGCAGCGUCUGGCUUGGCAAAAUUCUCAAAGUUUGACCUCAAAUCAGGUAGGAUUACCCGCUGAACUUAAGCAUAUCA